rnacentral:tRNA from 1 species
CGCGAUGCUCGCCGAGGCCGGCGCCGGGCUGUGAACUCGGUCCGGGAUCUCAGUCCGGGUUCGAGGCCUGGAACCGCGCC